GAUGUGGUGCAGUGGCAGUACGACUGCCUCUGACGCAAAAAGUUCCGGGUUCGAUUCCCGGUGGGUCA